UGAGGCUUCUCUGAUCCUCAGCCCACUGGCCAGGUAAACUGUGCUCCCGAAGAACAAAACGUAGCCUUGUAGAGUCAUUCUAAUGCGAGGAGAAAAUAGGAUUAGGCCAGAGUGUCAGCCAGGCCAAAUGACAGACAGAAAGCCAGAGGGGACAGCACUGAAUCCAAAUGCUUUUGCAUUCUGGGAAGCAAGGAUGCCUCCUGCCUACAUUUGGGUCUUGGAUUGACUCACUACAUCACAGGACUGCUGGGCUCCAGGAUGCGAAGAUCCAGCCACAACUGGCACCAGAGAACAAGAGAAGCUUCCUUUCCAUCUCUGGUGGCCUGCUCACCAAAGACCCUCUGGUCCCGUCAACUUGGUGUUAACUCUUGGGUGUAAAUGCCUUUGAGAAAAUACCCACUGCACCUCCUACAGUGAAUCCCACUGCUCACACAGGGUUUGUAUGAAGUCUGCCCUUUAUGGGCCAUCUACACAUCUCCUGUAUAAGAUACAGAAGAGACUUCCGGAAGUGCUUCCUCCCUUCUUUCUCUGGAGCUCCAGCUGCAGGACCACCGUGAGGAAGCUGUCACCGCCGCUAAGGCUGGCUGCCCUCUCUGGGAGUUGCACUUCCUUCCUCCGGUCCCUAAUCUGAGGACUGCUGGAUUGCAGACUUGGAAUAUUGGAGAUUGCGGAGGACGUGACACUUGACCCUGCAACCCGAACCCCGCAGGGGCAGCCGCCGCCUUGCAAAGUAGCAGUCCCCGAGCAGCGCCGCGCGGCGGUGGCCGGCCAAGCCCUCCGGGAGCUCUCCGGGUCCCCUUCCUCGCCCCCACCCCCGCCUUGCUCGCAGCUUGCCUCUGUCGACCCCUUCCCGCAGCCGCGUUUCAAUCAAACUCACUGAGACGGCACCGAGCGGGCGCCGGGGACAAGAAACGCCUCGCCAGCGACAACGCGCGAACAAGCGGAGCCGCGGGCCCCGGCGCCUCCGCCCACACGCGCCCCGCGUGCUGAAACCCGCACCUGGCCCACGGGUAGCCGGAAAAGCCGGGUCCCGGCCCGCCCGCCGGGCCGCCCCUGCUCCCGCUCCCCCAGCUCCAAGCGCUGCGGCUCAGAAACCCACCCGCCCGGCCCAGCCCCCGCCGGAGCCCUGCACCUUGGGGAGCCGGAGGCUGGGGAGGGGACCAGAGAAGGGGAAGAAGGGGCAUCGCCCUUCUUCCUACCCUGGGACAGCGCCUGGACUGGAGCUGGGUGCCGAGGAAACGACGGGAAGAGCUGACAGAGAGGCGGAGGGAGAAAAGAAAGGAAAAGAGGCAGAGACGAGGAAGGGAAGAAAGGGAUCCGAAGUGACCCGCCCUCGGGCCUCCGCGCCGGUGAUGCCCCGCGCCCAGGGCGAGGCCGUGCUUCGCGGGCAUGAGAAGCCAGGAGGCAGCGGAGUGCGGGUCUGGGGCACCGGGGACAUUGCCAAACAUAAUUGGGGUGCCAAACUGGGCUUCUUAAUCUCGAAGCCAGGAUGGGCGGGUGUGGCCGGGGGUGCGCGGGGUCAGCCAGCUUGGGGUGCUUUCCUUCGGGGCUCACACCGGCAGCGCGGACCGGCCGAGGCCGCUGGGACUGCAAGUCCGCCGCCUGCUUUUGUUCUGGGUUCUGCUGUAAUUUAACAUAAAACGCCUGUUAGAAUCACUGCUGCCGAAACACGCGUUUCUCCUUGUUUUGCCACCAACUAACAGGAUUAGGCAACAAGAGCGAGAUUUCAAAUUAACCAUAAAAAUGACAAAUUGCAAUUCAUUUAGCUGCCCACUUACUACAUUAAAAAACAUAAAUAAAUGAAUCUGCGUAUUCAGAGGGUUGAACGGCCCGCAAGGAAGCGAAAGCGGUUGAACUCAGGCCUCCGGGUGGGAGUCAGGGCUGUGGCGCUGGCGAGAGCGGGCCGCCGCGGAAUUCGCACCGUCUUCCAAGGGCCCGGAAAGAGGC
rnacentral:lncRNA from 1 species